GAUGAAGAACGUAGCGAAAUGCGAUAAGUAGUGUGAAUUGCAGAAUUCAGUGAAUCAUCGAAUCUUUGAACGCACAUUGCGCCCCUUGGUAUUCCAUGGGGCAUGCCUGUUCGAGCGUCAUUUGUACCUUCAAGCUCUGCUUGGUGUUGGGUGUUUGUCUCGCCUCUGCGUGUAGACUCGCCUUAAAACAAUUGGCAGCCGGCGUAUUGAUUUCGGAGCGCAGUACAUCUCGCGCUUUGCACUCAUAACGACGACGUCCAAAAGUACAUUUUUACACUCUUGGCCUCGGAUCAGGUAGGGAUACCCGCUGAACUUAAGCAUAUCAAUAAGCGGAGGA
rnacentral:misc_RNA from 1 species